GGGAUUGCUCUAGUAACGGCGAGUGAAGCAGCAAUAGCUCAAAUUUGAAAUCUGGCGUCUUCGGCGUCCGAGUUGUAAUUUGUAGAGGAUGCUUCUGGGCAGCCACCGACCUAAGUUCCUUGGAACAGGACGUCAUAGAGGGUGAGAAUCCCGUAUGCGGUCGGAAAGGCACCCUACACGUAGCUCCUUCGACGAGUCGAGUUGUUUGGGAAUGCAGCUCUAAAUGGGAGGUAAAUUUCUUCUAAAGCUAAAUAUUGGCCAGAGACCGAUAGCGCACAAGUAGAGUGAUCGAAAGAUGAAAAGCACUUUGGAAAGAGAGUUAAAAAGCACGUGAAAUUGUUGAAAGGGAAGGGAUUGCAACCAGACUUGCUCGCGGUGUUCCGCCGGUCUUCUGACCGGUCUACUCGCCGCGUUGCAGGCCAGCAUCGUCUGGUGCCGCUGGAUAAGACUUGAGGAAUGUAGCUCCCUCGGGAGUGUUAUAGCCUCUUGUGAUGCAGCGAGCGCCGGGCGAGGUCCGCGCUUCGGCUAGGAUGCUGGCGUAAUGGUUGUAAUCCGCCCGUCUUGAAACACGGACCAAGGAGUCUAACAUCUAUGCGAGUGUUCGGGUGUCAAACCCCUACGCGUAAUGAAAGUGAACGGAGGUGAGAACCGCAAGGUGCAUCAUCGACCGAUCCUGAUGUCUUCGGAUGGAUUUGAGUAUGAGCAUAGCUGUUGGGACCCGAAAGAUGGUGAACUAUGCCUGAAUAGGGUGAAGCCAGAGGAAACUCUGGU
rnacentral:rRNA from 1 species